UACGGGGGGGCAAGCGUUGUUCGGAAUUCCUGGGCGUAAAGCGUACGCAGGCGGCUUUGCAAGACAGGUGUGAAAUCCCCGGGCCUAACCUGGGAACUGCAUUUGUGACUGCAUAGCUAGAGUUUGUCAGAGGGGGGUGGAAUUCCACGUGUAGCAGUGAAAUGCGUAGAUAUGUGGGGGAACACCGAUGGCGAAGGCAGCCCCCUGGGAUGUGACUGACGCUCAUGUACGAAAGCGUGGGGAGCAAACAGG
rnacentral:rRNA from 1 species